rnacentral:rRNA from 1 species
GAGGGGACUGGAAGAUCCGGAGUACCGGUAAAAUGAGCAGAAAUCGGAAGGAACACCAGUGGCGAAACAGACUCCCUGGCGCGCGACUGACGCUAAGAGGCGAAAGCUAGGGGACCGAACAGGAUUAGAGACCCUGGUAGUCAUAGCCUUAACCGAUGGUAUGCUAGGUUUGGGAAGUCAAGUUCCGCGCCGGAGCCAACGCGAUAAGCAUCCCGCCUGGGGAGUACGGUCGCAAGGCUGAAACUCAAACGAAUUGACGGGGACCCGCACAAGCAGCGGAGCAUGUGGUUUAAUUCGAUGAUACGCGAGGAACCUUACCUGGGCUUAAAUGGGGAGUGACAGGGGUAGAAAUACCCUUUUCUUCGGACACUCUUCAAGGUGCUGCAUGGUUGUCGUCAGCUCGUGCCGUGAGGUGUCGGGUUAAGUCCCAUAACGAGCGCAACCCCUGUUGUCAGUUACCAGCACGUAAAGGUGGGGACUCUGGCAAGACUGCCGGUGUAAACCGCGAGGAAGGUGGGGAUGACGUCAAAUCAGCACGGCCCUUACGUCCAGGGCUACACACGUGUUACAAUGGCCAGUACAAAGGGCAGCUACACAGCAAUGUGAUGCUAAUCUCGAAAACUGGUCCCAGUUCGGAUUGGAGUCUGCAACCCGACUUCAUGAAGCUGGAAUCGCUAGUAAUCGCGCAUCAGCCAUGGCGCGGUGAAUACGUUCCCGGGCAUUGUACACACCGCCCGUCAAGCCAUGGAAGCCGGGAGUACCUGAAGUAUGUAACCGCAAGGAGCGUCCUAGGGUAGACUGGUGACUGGGCUAAGUGUA